UAAUUGGAUUUUUUGUUUUAUAUGAAUUAGGAUUUAAUUGAUUUAUUUGGAAUAAUUGUGUAACUUGUUUGCUUUAUUAUUAGUGUUACGUUUUAUUAAGUGUGACAGAUUAUGCGAUAGAAUAGGUUACAAUUUUUUUUAUUUAAAUGUGUGUGUGUAUGUGGAUAAUUGUUUUAUUUAUUUUUAUUAAGAAAUUAAGAGGAAAAAGAAAAUAGGUUGUCAUCUUUUGGGAUAAGAUGACGAGGCUUAUCUUUAGAUUAUGUUUACAUUGGGAUAGGGUUUAGGUGAGGUGUAAGGAGAGGAAUUGGUGGGAUUGAAGCAUAUCUUUUGGGAUUGGAGCAUAUAUGGUGGGAUAGGAUUGGAGCUUUCACACUUGUUUUCUUUCCUUAGGUCUGGGUCACUAGGUUAUUAUAAAUAGAAGAACAUAGGAGGCUUGGAAACCCUUUUUGCUGGCUACCAAAACUUGGAGAGAAAGAGAAGGAGAAGGACACAAAAAAGAGCAAGAAAAAGAGAGAAGGAAAGAGGAGAAGAAGAAGAAGGAGGAGGAGGCUAGGGUUUCGAAAUCCUAGGUGCCUAAGGAUUUAUUGGCUUUGUGUCCUUGAACACUACUAAGGAGAUCAAAGUAAGUAAAGAGAUAGAUGGAUGGUGGGGAGUUGGACCUGGAUAGUUGCUUGUGUAUUCGUGAGGGCCAUAUAGCUACUGGAAGAUCUAAGACUUAUAUUUUGUUUCUUAACUAGUAUUUUUAUUCCUCUAAAAUAAAUGUUUUUGUAUUUUAGUUUUUUUUUAAACAUCUUUUAUGAU